GGGUGCGAUCAUACCAGCGUUAAUGCAACGAAUUCCAUCAGAAGUCCGCAGUUAAGCGCGCUUGGGCUAGAGUAGUACUGGGAUGGGUGACCUCCUGGGAAGUCCUAGUGUUGCACCCU
rnacentral:rRNA from 1 species